rnacentral:rRNA from 1 species
AUUAGUAAGCGGAGAAGAACAACCGGAUUCCCUUAGUAACUGCGAGUGAACAGGGAUUAGCCCAGCACCGAAGCCUGUGGCCAAUUGGUCAUAUGGCAAUGUGGUGUUCAGGUUGUUCCCCAUUGACGCUGCUCCACCCUAAGUCCAUCAAUGAGUACGGUAUGGACCUGGCCCAUGGAGGGUGAAAGGCCCGUGGGGGUGGAGACCAGGUAGGCCGGCGUCUUUCUGGAUAGACCUUUGAGUCGGGUUGUUUGUGAAUGCAGCCCAAAGUGGGUGGUAAACUCCAUCCAAGGCUAAAUACUAGCACGAGUCCGAUAGCAAACAAGUACCGUGAGGGAAAGUUGAAAAGUACUUUGAAGAGAGAGUAAACAGUGCGUGAAGCCGGUCAGAGGUAAACAGGUGGAGUUGAACUGCAAGCUCUGUGAAUUCAGCUGGUGAGUGUGGUUUGGGUUUGGUCAAGUCGGUUGAGCCAUGGAGUCUGCGUAGCAGCAGGCCUUCGCUUCGGUGGAGGUGCGCGAUACACUUAUCAAGUGUUGUGCGCUUCGUGUGUUCUUCGAGCCGUCUCGCCAGUGCACUUUUGCGGAGUGGUCACCACGACCGGCAUAUUGUCUGGCUGGUGCGGUUAAACCGGUCAUGUAUUGUCCUUGUGGCUUUGCGUGGUCGGGAUGGCAGGUAGCUCGUUGACUAGCUUGUGGUUCGCUGCAGGUAGGUUUUCGGGUGUAAUCAGCCGACCGUAUUGGUUCUGUGCAGUGUGUCGGAGAUGGCGGCUUGUGUGUGUGCAUGCGUGCCUGUUGGCCAGCGUGUUCGAGUUCUGGUUAUUACGUUGCUUGCGAAGGCAGGCCUGAUGAUGGCUCGGAUUCGCUCGGUUGGCGGUUGCGUGUGUAUCACGUUACAUGGGCCAAUAGUCUGUGGUGUAGUGGUAG